AACAAGUACCGCGAGGGAAAGUUGAAAAGAACUCUGAAGAGAGAGUUCAACAGGACGUGAAACCGUUGACAGGCAAACGGAUGGAGCUGACGGUGCAAUUUUGACCAAAAUCAGUCGUCGCUGUGUUCGUUGGCGAAUGAAUCUUUUGCAAACUUGUUUGUGUAGAUUAUCUUUCGUUUCGAAUGUACGCACGGUGCACUUUUGGUCGAUUAGCGUCACGAGCAACGUUCGCAUUUUUUGCUGCCGACAGUAAUUGUGUUUGUUGUUUUAAAAGCAACAAACAAUAAAGGCGGUUUGUGGAAGAGGUAAUUGUGGUAAAGACUUGUGCUUUUGUCUCAAUUGCCGUGCCAAUGCCGCAUCUGUCGGAUGAAUGUUGUUGUUGACAAGUUGAAGAGCAUUGUUCUGCGUACAAUUGUAAUGGGUCUGUUGGUGCCGUUGCGUUCGUGGGUUUCGGCUCACGAUUUGUCUGGUACGUCGGGAAAAAAGUCAAUUAUGAAUGUAAUUGAUCUGGCUACCGUGCGUAACGGUAUUCAAAUGUGUGUAUGAUGGACUUUAUUUGCAAUCGGCGCUCAAUGUGUUUUCUUUUAUCGGUGGCGUCAAUGUUAGCCUCCCAUCCGACCCGUCUUGAAACACGGACCAAGGAGUUCAGUAGGCACGCGAGUCGUUGACGUUGUGCAUUGAACAGUCGAAGGCGUAAUGAAAGUGUGCAAGAAAGUGAAUUGUACAUUUUUUUGUACUGUUUGCUUUCAGCAUGAUCGUCCUUUGUUUUGUUUGGGUGCUGCUUGAAUUUUUUCGGGCCACCUUUCUUAAUUUGGGGACGCGCAGUGUGGUGCCGUUGAAUAGUCGCACUGUUCUUUCUUUCUCUUCGGGGUUGGAGGAACAAUUGUCGAUCAGUCGGUUUCGGAGCGUGCACACUGGUACCCGAAAGAUGGUGAACUAUGCUUGAGCAGAAUGAAGCCAGAGGAAACUCUGGUGGAAGUUCGUAGCGGUGUUGACGUGCAAAUCACUCGUCUGACUUGAGUGUAGGGGCGAAAGACUAAUCGAACCAUCUAGUUGCUGGUUCCUUCCGAAGUUUCCCUCAGGAUAGCUGGCAUUUGUGUGUAACAAUUUUAUCCGGUAGAGCGAAUGAUUAGAGGUGUUGGGAACGCAAUGUUCUCAGCCUAUUCUCAAACUUCGAAUGGGUAAGCAAGGCGAUUUGCUUUGAUCUGUUGAUGAAAUCGCCCAACUUUUUUGUGUUGAAGAAUGUAUAAAUGCCUAGUGGGCCAAUUUUGGUAAGCAGAACUGGCGAUGUGGAAUGAACCAAAAGUCAGGUUAAGGUGCCAGACAUUGGCGCUCAUGAAAUACCAGAAAAGGUGUUGGUCGAUAUAGACAGCAGGACGGUGGCCAUGGAAGUUGGAAUCCGCCAAGGAGUGUGUAACAACUCACCUGCCGAAUCGACUAGCCCUGAAAAUGGAUAGCGUUUGAGCGCCAGGCCCAUACCUGACCGUCUCAGUUACGCACUUUUGUUGUUUCAAUGAUGAAGGUGUAAUGAACGUUGAGACGGGUAGGAAGGUCGCGACAGUGUUGCUUUGAAGAGUUUUGAGCGUGAGCUCGCUCGGAGCCGCUGUUGGUGCAGAUCUUGGUGGUAGUAGCAAAUAUUCAAGUGAGAACCUUGAAGGCUGAAGUGGAGCAAGGUUCCAUGUGAACAGCAGUUGGACAUGGGUCAGUCGAUCCUAAGAAAACGGCGAAAGCUUGUUCGAAUUUACGACAUAAAAAAUGUAAAACUGUGUGUGUGUAGUGUGCUUGUGUGUGUACUAUACUGAUAUAGCAGUAGUGGUGGUGGUGGUUUGUCAGUCAGCAGUAGUGUUUGUCUGUGGCAGUGCUGCUGCUGCUGCUGCUGCUGCUGCUGCUAUUGUUUACUUGCUGUUGUUGUGUGUUGUUGUACACACACACCCACACAAUUCUGUGUGCAGUUGUCGUAUGUUUUCGAAAGGGAAUCCGGUUGAUAUUCCGGAACCGAGUAACGGAGACAAAGAGUAGCGCUUUAAUCUUCCGGUUGGCGUUCAACUCAAUCGCGCGGUAACGCAAGCGAACUCGGAAAAUGACCGUCGUGAGUUUCGAAAAGAGUUUUCUUUUCUUUUUAAGGGACGCAUUCCCUGGAACCGGGUUGUCCGGAGAUAGGGAUUCUGGUAUCCAUAAAACGCCGACUCUUUCACGGUGUUCGGAGCGCUCUCGUCGGUACGUGAAAAUCCGAGCGACGCCUGGUAAAUCUCGUACUUGGUCGUACUGAUAUCCGCAGCAGGUCUCCAAGGUGAAUAGCCUCUGGCCGAUAGAAUAAUGUAGGUAAGGGAAGUCGGCAAAACGGAUCCGUAACUUCGGAACAAGGAUUGGCUCUAAGGGCUGGGCCGAUCGGGCUGAGGUUUCAAGCGUGCAGUGUAUGCUUGGCUGAGUUGUGUUGAGGAUUGAUUCGCUUGGUGCCGUUUGUUGAACCAAUCGGCUAUCCAGGUGGUCAUGUCUGAAG
rnacentral:rRNA from 1 species